UAGCUCAGUGGUAGAGGGCUUGCCUUGCACACAUGAGGCCCUGGGUUCGAUCCCCAG
rnacentral:tRNA from 1 species